GCCCGGGUAGCUCAAUUGGUAGAACCUCAAACUGUUAUUCUUAGGGUCCUGUGUUCACAUCCCUGUUUGGUCG
rnacentral:tRNA from 1 species